UACGUAGGGGGCAAGCGUUGUCCGGAAUCAUUGGGCGUAAAGAGCGUGUAGGCGGCUCGAUAAGUCUGCUGUGAAAGUCCAGGGCUCAACCCUGGAAGGCCGGUGGAAACUGUCGGGCUAGAGUCCGGAAGAGGCGAGUGGAAUUCCCGGUGUAGCGGUGAAAUGCGCAGAUAUCAGGAGGAACACCGGUGGCGAAGGCGGCUUCCUGGACACUUACUGACGCUGAGACGCGAAAGCGUGGGGAGCAAACAGG
rnacentral:rRNA from 1 species